rnacentral:telomerase_RNA from 1 species
GUGCGCCUUCGCCUGCCCUACAGUUUGCCGGCUCGCAUUUUCCGCAAGGAAUGUCUACUACAGACCCCUCCAUGACGGCCCGGAUGCCCGCGCGAGCCGCUCCUCGAGCCUGCAUCAGGACCUCGCUGCGAGCCCGCUAUUGGAUGUCGCCGCGGGUCCAACGCACCCAAUGCCAGAGGUGCCCGGCCGACGCAGAGGGAAUGCGUGUCGGAACUUUAACCCUUGAUGAUUCUUCUGGUGAUAAGUCUUGUGCCUUUGUCGUCGGCGGCCUUUUACGUUGCGCGAGGGUCCUCGGACGCCUCUUGCCCGCUGAAAAGUUGGAUUGGCUGAAGAUUCGGACCCUUGUCCUGACAGAAUGGCUUUUGCUGACGUCCCGGUUGCUGCUUUUUCUUAUAUCCGUCUGGAGAAGCAGGCCCAGGGAGAAGAUGCCAUGAGCCGUGCUGGUAAGAGUCUCUGGUCUGAGACCGCUCGUCCGCUCUUCUCCGCCGGAACCAGUGCUGUGGUUUGACAGCACGACCGAUCGAGUGGUGCGGUCUGAAAAGUCCGGUGUUGAUUUGGAGUUGAUACUGGAGACAAGAGGGCUUUGAGUUGAGCUUGAAUUCGGCCACACACAGAGACGGCGUUUCGCAGCGUUUAUCCAACAUCUCCUUGCCGGAAGUUGUGUCAACAUCACGUUUGGCACGGCCGCGAGAGACUGCCCGGAUCACAUUCAGAAACGCUGCUCGUCCCUCGCUGCCUAUUCAUGACGCUCUCGGAUCUUGAACCCUCAAUCUCUCAACUGCCGAAGACGCCUCGGAACUACGGAAUGCCCCUCGAGCCACUUGUUCGCUCCGGUGAUCUCGUGGUAUAUUUGAAGGUCUAGCCAGGCACAUUAGCUUCUUCGCGUCAGCACCGUCCGACGUGGCAGAAGGCGCCAGUCCACCGCUGAUUGCCCCGCGGCAUCGGUAUAUUCCUCUACUUGGGUACUUUCCCCAGAAGAGAUGAAAGCGCGUUUUUUUGUGGAUGUCUUUUGUGCGUGCGGCAAUGCUUCCCUUUUCCAACUUGCGUGGCGAGUUUUGAUGGGAACGAAUCAAAAACGAGUCCUUGCGGGCAGUGCACUACAUACGGAACCAGUCGGUAUUAGCUAGCUCAACGUGCUUUCGAAGCGGUAAUGGUUGGGCUGGGUUUUGGUGGUGGACUUGGCUGAUGACGGCAGCGAAUCGUUAGGGUUGGGCAUUGGGCGGUCUGAGUGAUGUUACAUCUACUUGGGCUCAAUCGCGCAUCUGGGGCCGAACCAAGAAGCAGUGUCGGGACCCAUCUCGUGUUGGAGUCAAAGUUUCGUGCUUGUCUGGUACUGCGGGCUGGCGGAACUGGUUGCGCGCUUGAGAUGUGCUCUGCGGCGCUCUCGUGUUGAGCUUUUGCCUUGAAAGGACAGGCCUCGGGAUAUGGGUAGUCCUGGUUGUCCCGGCCGUCUGAAAUGUCGGACGGGGCAACCCCCCGCAUUGGAGG